GACGAACCGUGCAAACGUUAUUCGCAAUCACUGGGCAUAAAGGGCGCGUAGGCGGCUCCAAAAGUCAGGGGUGAAAUCCGGCAGCUUAACUGUCGCAGUGCCUUUGAUACUGUGGAGCUAGAGGGAGGUAGGGGUCUGUGGAACUUCCGGUGGAGCGGUGAAAUGCGUUGAUAUCGGAAGGAACGCCGGUGGCGAAAGCGACGGACUGGAUCUCUUCUGACGCUGAGGCGCGAAAGCCAGGGGAGCAAACGGG
rnacentral:rRNA from 1 species